GUUCACUUGUUGUCACAACAACUUUUUCCCGAAACAGCCCAGGCCCCGGGACUGGCAGUUUCCUGAUCCAUUGUCUGUGUGCUAACGCCCAUCUGGGUAACAGGACUGAUUCAUAAUCCAGGGCGGGAGAGCUGGAGCAGACCACGCCCAUCCUUUGCUGGCCUCUCCUGGUACCAAAUCAGGUGAUAAUGGAGCUUCCCGUGGAAACCCCGGCUCAAGUCAGCAAGCAGGAGGUGGCUUCAGAGACGGAGCGUCCGUAUGGUAACGAAUGUGGACUUUGACUCAAGGGGCUGAGAGUACCCCAAGGAAACGGGCACCUUCGUCCUACAAUGUAAGUAACCUGCCACAACCCCGUGGGCCUGGAAGAAGACUGCAAGCCCUUGAUGAGUCGUUGCCUGGACACUGCAACUGCAGCUGGACCAGACCUUGAUUUCAUCCUUGUGUGAGUAGAGCACCCAGCUGACCCACAUCCAGACUCCUGAACCGCACACAGAAACUGUGAGAUCGUAAACAGGGGCUGUUGGAUGCUGAGGGAAAAAAUGAAGUCAGUCUCGCUGAAGACCCAGCUCUGGUCCUUUUCACCGAGAACUGAUUUCUCUUGAUUUCCCAAGUCCUUUCAGAAAUGGUCUCACUGUCCAUAAGCCAGGUCCCCACCCAUCUCUUACCUACCAGUGAAGCCACCUCCUACCCGUCCCCUCGACCGAUCACAUCCUAACACCGGUCCCACAGGCUCAGUCACUCUGUUUGCUUUGGCCCACUCCCCAAACGUGUCACAGAACAUAUCUUUCGCUGGAACUCUCUAGUUCAAUCUGUUUGUUUACUUGUGUAUCUAUUUGUUGUCUGCCUGCUCUCAAGAGAACGUAAGCACCAGGAAAGCUUAUGCAGAUACUGGCACGCCCAGUAUCCAGAGAAGUACCUGGCAGGGGUGGGGAUUCAAUAACCAUGCGUGAGUGAACGCCCGGUGUUGGUACUUGGCUCUGGCCUGCCCGUCUGCCAAUGUGUGCAGAGAUCUUAGCAUUCGAGGUCACGCCAUGUGCUUGUCCCUAAAACAUGGGGCACCUAUAACAUGUCAAAAUCCUCUAGUCUUUGUCUGCUCACCCGCCAGAACCCAGGCUCCUUAUUGAAAGAUAACACAAAGCAUUAUUUCAGAGCUGGGGCUCUGAGAGUAGAGUGCUUCAGCUCAGGCCCCAGUUCUCAGGCCACUAAGGACCUCUGACUUUGGGCAAGUUAGCCAGUGGCUUAAUCUCUCCAUGCCUUGGUUUACCCACCUGUAAAAUGGGGCGAGGGAUAAUACUAGCUCCGACAUCGCGAGACUGUUGUAAAGAUUAAAUGAUACAUAAAAACGCAUAAAGAAUUUAGAACAGCACCUGCCACACUGAGCCACAAUCUAGACCAGCUCUUGCUGUAACCCCCAGGGCCAUGUAAGGAUCUUUAGAGGCUUCAGGAAAACUCGUACGUUCAGGGUUCCACCCACCCGAUUGGACAUAUUAGAAAGCAUCCACAUGUCGUAUUACACUUGUCUUUUGUGCUGUAAUUAAGAAAAAAAAAAAUUUUGUUUUUUUUCUGUAAUUCUCAGUGUUAAGAAUACAUGAGUCUCUUAUUUGGCUUUGUCAUAUAAAGUUCAUCGCACUUAAAAUGCGGCCAUUUGCCAUAACGUCCCAUGAUACAGAGCCCUAACAUUUAGCCGUUUCAGGUGUGUGCUUUUGUUCCAUGCUUUGGAGCGGAUAUUGUUUUCAGGGCUCCCAUGUUUGCCGGCGCCCUUCAGCCACUCGGGCAUUUUGCACGAGGACCACAGCUCUGCAAGAGCAGCCCCGGGCCCAGCCCAGGGACGAGGUGGCCACCACCUGCCCACCGCUCACCAGCCCA